UACAGAGGGUGCAAGCGUUAAUCGGAAUUACUGGGCGUAAAGCGCACGUAGGUGGUUUAAUACGUUUGAUGUGAAAGCCCCGGGCUUAACCUGGGAACGGCGUUGAAGACGGUUAGACUUGAGUCGGAGAGAGGGUUGUGGAAUUUCCGGUGUAGCGGUGAAAUGCGUAGAGAUCGGAAAGAACACCAGUGGCGAAGGCGACAACCUGGCGUCCAGACUGACACUGAGGGGCGAAAGCGUGGGGAGCAAACAGGAGUUAAGAUACC
rnacentral:rRNA from 1 species